UGGGGAAUUUUGGACAAUGGGCGAAAGCCUGAUCCAGCCAUGCCGCGUGAGUGAAGAAGGCCUUCGGGUUGUAAAGCUCUUUUAGUCGGAAAGAAAGAGUUGCAAUGAAUAAUUGUGAUUUAUGACGGUACCGACAGAAAAAGCACCGGCUAACUACGUGCCAGCAGCCGCGGUAAUACGUAGGGUGCGAGCGUUAAUCGGAAUUACUGGGCGUAAAGGGUGCGCAGGCGGUCUUGCAAGUCAGAUGUGAAAGCCCCGGGCUUAACCUGGGAAUUGCGUUUGAAACUACAAGGCUAGAGUGCAGCAGAGGGGAGUGGAAUUUCCAUGUGUAGCAGUGAAAUGCGUAGAGAUGUGGAAGAACACCGAUGGCGAAGGCAGCUCCCUGGGUUGACACUGACGCUCAUGCACGAAAGCGUGGGGAGCAAACA
rnacentral:rRNA from 1 species